UACGAAGGGGGCUAGCGUUGCCCGGAAUCACUGGGCGUAAAGCGCACGUAGGCGGAUCUUUAAGUCAGGGGUGAAAUCCUGGAGCUCAACUCCAGAACUGCCUUUGAUACUGGGGAUCUCGAGUCCGGGAGAGGUGAGUGGAACUCCGAGUGUAGAGGUGAAAUUCGUAGAUAUUCGGAAGAACACCAGUGGCGAAGGCGGCUCACUGGCCCGGUACUGACGCUGAGGUGCGAAAGCGUGGGGAGCAAACAGG
rnacentral:rRNA from 1 species